rnacentral:lncRNA from 1 species
GCCCUUUGUAGCCAACCCUACCCUUCAUCCUCAGUCCCUGGCAACCACUCAUCCAUUGUCUGUUUCUAUGGCUUUACCUUUCUUCUUCUAUGACAUCUUGAAUGCUGAAGUUCAAUAUCAUUCUAGUUGUGAGGGUCCUUGUUAGUAUUACACAAGAUGUGUGAUAACCUAUAAACUAUUUUUAAAAGGAUUAGGCAAAAAUAAGUAAGUGCAAGAGAACUGGAAAAGAAAAGACAGGAUAUAGGGAAGGGAAAAAGAAAGACCAAAAGAAGGGUGUAUAGUUGUGAUAGAAGGUGCUUUGAUGUUGCUGUCCACGCUGUUUGAAAACCUUGUCUGUCAGAGCGGUGAGCAGACCCAUGGCGCUGAUUGGAAACUUUGUUCAAGGUGUGCACAAAAGAGUGUCCAUUUGGGUAGAUGGUGAAGAUACCUCUAGAGCUAUUAAUACGCAAGAGGAUGACAUCAUUCCUAUUCAGGAGAUUUGAAGUGGCGUCCACAUCUGCUUUGCAUAUACUCUAUUCCUCCUGUUUAGAAUGGCUUCCUUCUCAGCCCUUGUGCACCUGGAGAAUUGCUAAGUCAUCUUCUGUGAAUCCACCCAAAUGUUGCCUCUUGAACAUGUUCCUGUGGUUCAACUAUUAUGCUUUCUAACGUGAACUGGGCCAUAGAACACUGUAUAGUCUGGAAUACGGUUAUAUUUUCUAGUUAUAUCACAGUUCAUUGAUGUGUCUUACCAGAGGAACAGUAAUAAAUGACCUUGGGCAAGGGACCCA